rnacentral:rRNA from 1 species
GACGAACGCUGGCGGCGUGCUUAACACAUGCAAGUCGAACGGAAAGGCCCUGCUUUUGUGGGGUGCUCGAGUGGCGAACGGGUGAGUAACACGUGAGUAACCUGCCCUUGACUUUGGGAUAACUUCAGGAAACUGGGGCUAAUACCGGAUAGGAGCUCCUGCUGCAUGGUGGGGGUUGGAAAGUUUCGGCGGUUGGGGAUGGACUCGCGGCUUAUCAGCUUGUUGGUGGGGUAGUGGCUUACCAAGGCUUUGACGGGUAGCCGGCCUGAGAGGGUGACCGGCCACAUUGGGACUGAGAUACGGCCCAGACUCCUACGGGAGGCAGCAGUGGGGAAUAUUGCACAAUGGGCGGAAGCCUGAUGCAGCAACGCCGCGUGCGGGAUAACGGCCUUCGGGUUGUAAACCGCUUUCGCCUGUGACGAAGCGUGAGUGACGGUAAUGGGUAAAGAAGCACCGGCUAACUACGUGCCAGCAGCCGCGGUGAUACGUAGGGUGCGAGCGUUGUCCGGAUUUAUUGGGCGUAAAGGGCUCGUAGGUGGUUGAUCGCGUCGGAAGUGUAAUCUUGGGGCUUAACCCUGAGCGUGCUUUCGAUACGGGUUGACUUGAGGAAGGUAGGGGAGAAUGGAAUUCCUGGUGGAGCGGUGGAAUGCGCAGAUAUCAGGAGGAACACCAGUGGCGAAGGCGGUUCUCUGGGCCUUUCCUGACGCUGAGGAGCGAAAGCGUGGGGAGCGAACAGGCUUAGAUACCCUGGUAGUCCACGCUGUAAACGGUGGGUACUAGGUGUGGGGUCCAUUCCACGGGUUCCGUGCCGUAGCUAACGCUUUAAGUACCCCGCCUGGGGAGUACGGCCGCAAGGCUAAAACUCAAAGGAAUUGACGGGGCCCCGCACAAGCGGCGGAGCAUGCGGAUUAAUUCGAUGCAACGCGUAGAACCUUACCUGGGUUUGACAUGGAUCGGGAGUGCUCAGAGAUGGGUGUGCCUCUUUUGGGGUCGGUUCACAGGUGGUGCAUGGCUGUCGUCAGCUCGUGUCGUGAGAUGUUGGGUUAAGUCCCGCAACGAGCGCAACCCUUGUUCACUGUUGCCAGCACGUUAUGGUGGGGACUCAGUGGAGACCGCCGGGGUCAACUCGGAGGAAGGUGGGGAUGACGUCAAGUCAUCAUGCCCCUUAUGUCCAGGGCUUCACGCAUGCUACAAUGGCUGGUACAGAGAGUGGCGAGCCUGUGAGGGUGAGCGAAUCUCGGAAAGCCGGUCUCAGUUCGGAUUGGGGUCUGCAACUCGACCUCAUGAAGUCGGAGUCGCUAGUAAUCGCAGAUCAGCAACGCUGCGGUGAAUACGUUCCCGGG